ACUCAAAUAUAGAGACCACUGCGAAUCAAGACGUAGAUAACAGCUUCACUCUCUUUGUCACUGAUACUUAACCAUUGCGUUUGCAAUUAUUACCAAAGGAAGUUUGUCAGCUGAUACAUGGCGUUGGUUAUUUGCAUGCAUCAGAAAGAAAGUAACACAAAGGGAAGGCACUUGUCUAAUAACGAGUCCGGAUCCUGACAUAGUUGCAGUUGUUAAGGAGCGUGAGUGUCAGUGGGCACAUCACCGGUUCUGUCUUAGGCAUAUGUGCUUAAAAUUUUAUGAAGUCUUUCAUAACAAUCUCAUGACAGAGUUUGUUUACAAGGCGGGAUCUACGAAGCACGUAUCAAAGUUCGUGAAGUACUUGAAGAAAAUCAAAAAGAUGAAUUUGGAGGCUCGAAAAUGGUUAGCCAAAAUACCUCCACAUCAGUGGGCCCUGGCUUACGAUGAUGGUGGGCUGAGAUUUGGGAUCAUGACAACAAAGAAAAUAUCUAAGACAUAUGGUUUCAUAAACAAAGCUCUUGAUCUUCCAAUCACAGCCUGCAUCUUGCUAAUUUUUGAUCACCUGGCAGAGCUUUUCAAAUCUCAACGUGGUCUUCUUGAGGAGUGUCUCUAAAGAACAGAGGAGAAGUCUAUGCCAAACAUGUCAUGAAAAAGCUUGAGAAGUACAAGUUAGCCUCUAGAACACUCGAUGUAUUGCCUAUAGACCAGACUGCAGGGAGGUUUCAGGUCACAAAAGUGCUGCAAACUGGAAACAAGAAAUAUUUUGUUCACUGCAGCGAUCGAGUUUGCACGUGUCAGACAUGGCAAGUUUACAAGUAUCCGUGUUUGCAUGUGUUAGCUGUUUGCAGGAGGCUGAACUAUGACCAUUUGGAGUAUGUAAAUGACUUCUACAAGACAGAGAGUUUUCUUGGAGUUUAUUCUGCUGAGUUUAAUCCACUUCCAGGAGUCUCCAAUUGGCCAGAAGCUUCCGAUGUUACAACACUGUUUCCUGCUGGAAGUCGUCAGAUAUCAGUUGUCCUGCCAGUGGCAAGCGAGUCAUCCCGCGAGAAGUCAGCUAAGCCAAAUGAUGCGGACACGGGAGCGAGUGGAGGAUGCGAAACGAGACGAUCAGGGCGACCAAAGAAGCCGAAUAGUAGAUAUGCCAAAUAAGGACUUGAAUGGUAGAGAUAUUGAUAUGCAUCGAGAAAAUGAUAAGUAGUGGGAACACAGAACAAAGAGCAAGGGAGGCACUUGAAACCAUGGGAGCUUCAGUCUUCAGUGGGAUCACACUCACAAAACUUGUUGGAGUGAUCGUGCUUUGCUUCGCAAGAUCUGAGAUAAUUAUGGCUUGACGAUAUGUUCUCUAGCCAUAGAAGCCACUAUGAUUAGUUCUUGCACAUAUUGUGGAUUCCAUUCCAGCAUCGACACUUGGACAUCGAGGAGCAGCAGCAGCAGAGAGACAUCUCUCUUAGAGUUCAACGUUUGGGACAUUACUCUUAUUGCUCAAUAUCCCGACUCACACAAAUGUAUGAAUUGAAACAUCCUAUAUUGAUGAAUAGCGUGAUUAUUGGACAUCCUAUAUAUACCCUCUGUAUCAAAAUUAAACAGGCCCAUGGGCUAAUGGAAUGUUGGCGUAGUUUUCUUAACUAGAAU